UAAACUUAGUGGCGGACGGGUGAGUAACGCGUGGGUAACCUGCCGUAUACAGGGGGGUAACGACUUAGAAAUAGGUGCUAAAACCGCAUAAGCGCACAGCGCCGCAUGGCGCAGUGUGAAAAACUCCGGUGGUAUACGAUGGACCCGCGUCUGAUUAGCUAGUUGGCGGGGUAACGGCCCACCAAGGCAGCGAUCAGUAGCCGGCCUGAGAGGGUGGACGGCCACAUUGGGACUGAGACACGGCCCAAACUCCUACGGAAGGCAGCAG
rnacentral:rRNA from 1 species